ensembl:lncRNA
UCUUUUUUGUUUUUCUGUCCUCUAUCUGUUCGUCUUUCACACUUUCAAUGUGCAGGAGGAGAAAUGAAGAGAAACAACACAACAAUUGAAUAUUGUAAAUUGACAAAAGCGAGGUGUGUGUGUGUGUGUGUGUGUGUGUGUGCGUGCAGGUAUGAAUGAUGAGUGACCAAGAAAAGAAGAAAAUUAGAGAAAGGAAAAGUAGAGUGAUAAAUACAUCAAGAUAAUUGUUGAAAGAUGUGUGGAGGUGUUGGACUGGUAGAGAGCAACACACACAUAUACACGCACACCAUGCGGUGUGGGGGGAGGAGAGAGACAUUCUAGUUAAGACUGCCUUCAUGGAUCACUCUCACUUCCAUAGAGAGGGGCAACUUUAUUGAGCGCUAGAGCCAGAGAAGAAAAAGCAUGGUGCAAAAUGAAGGACAAGUUGUUGUUUCUUGAAGAAAAAUGCAGAGAAAUUUAAAGAGAGCAGUAGAGUUAGAGAAGAGGGCUUGGAGAACCCGAGAGGGGAGGAGAGAGGGAGAGAGAGAGAGAGUGAGAAAGAGGGGAAGGGGGAGAAAGACAAGAAGAGAAGCAGAGAGACAGACAGAUGGAGGAGAAGCAUGCAGCAGCAGAGAGGAGGAGAAACAAAGCGUGUUGACUGAGGAAGUGUGCAUGCCAUGCGGGCCAUGUGCUCAGCCUGAACUCUUCAUGAUACGUAUCACGGAGAAGACAGCAGAGUGUGAUCGAGGGCUCCUGUCCUGCUGUGUGUGAAAUUCUCCUGGACCAGCUCCUCAGUCAAAUGCCACCCAGCCUCCAGCACCUUUGCCACUCUGCACUCUCUGGAUUUCCCUGAGCACACAACCUGCACCACUGUGAGUCUCCUCCAUUUCCUCACAUGGAGCCACCUGUCAGAGUCAGAGCUCUUCACCUUGACCAGCC